rnacentral:rRNA from 1 species
GAUGAACGCUAGCGGCAGGCUUAAUACAUGCAAGUCGAGGGGUAGCAUGAUUGUAGCAAUACAAUUGAUGACGACCGGCAAACGGGUGCGGAACACGUACACAACCUUCCUACAAGUGGGGAAUAGCCCAGAGAAAUUUGGAUUAAUACCCCGUAACAUAGCGAUGUGGCAUCACAUUGCUAUUAUAGCUUCGGCGCUUGUUGAUGGGUGUGCGGCUGAUUAGAUAGUUGGCGGGGUAACGGCCCACCAAGUCUACGAUCAGUAGCUGAUGUGAGAGCAUGAUCAGCCACACGGGCACUGAGACACGGGCCCGACUCCUACGGGAGGCAGCAGUAAGGAAUAUUGGACAAUGGGCGCAAGCCUGAUCCAGCCAUGCCGCGUGCAGGAUGACGGUCCUAUGGAUUGUAAACUGCUUUUGUACAGGAAGAAACACCUCUACGUGUAGAGAGCUGAAGGUACC